UAGUCAAGGUAGUUUGGCAGCAGAGCCUGCAGAGGACAGCCAGAGAGAGCAGGUGCCUUUGAGACGCUGCAGUCGCUGCCAAGCAAACUCUAUCUUUUCUGCUGCCGUCCCUGGGGAGGGAAGCCAGUGGUUAGCAGACAGGACUUCUGUCUGUCCCUUUACAUGGGCACACAGUAACCAAGCAAUUACAAAGGAUUGUUAAACUGUGCAGCAGAUGGAAGAAGAGGAAGCUAAGGCAGCGUCUCUCCUUACUAAGAAUAAAACUGGAAGCGUGAGAGAGGCUCAGCUAACCAAGUUUCUGCAAGAGGAGGCGUUCAGGGCCCAAGCAGGUCAGCACGUGGUCCAGAACCAACACUGGUUUGGAGGAUGAUGCCUGAGAUUCCACCAGCCCUUGGGAGUCGGGCCAGGACUGCUACGAUCUUGUCUCAAAAGAACAACACGGAGACAGUGAGAUGGCUCAGCAGGUACAAGCGGCUGCUCUUGCAUGAGGACCCGAGUUUGAUCUGCAGAUCCCACAGUGAAAGAAGAGCCAAUUCAAGAUUGUCCUCUGACCCCAACUAAAUGUGACUGCCAUACAGGGAGAAGACAGUUCACAGAUCAUAAUAAAACCUAAAAGGAAACCUAUCUACAUUAAGAUAAAGACUAUAAUAAAGAUGAUAUGUCAAGUUGACAGGG
rnacentral:lncRNA from 1 species